rnacentral:lncRNA from 1 species
UCUUAUUGAAGUGCUGGAAACCUGUUCUUGUGGUAUAAAGAAAAAGUAUCUGGAUGGGAUGAAUAAAACUUGGUGACACGAAUGCUUCGUGUUUUUAUAUGUCUUUAAUCCAGCACUUGCCAGACAUCCCACCUCUCUCGAUUCUAGAUAAAUGUAAAAUCACAAGUAAUGGCUUUAGUGAGCCUGAAAGAGGCAGUUUCCUGGAUUCUCGUCCUUUUGGGAAUGAAUGCAUAUAGGUUUAUAUGUAAGUUGCUCUGUUUCCCAGCCUUCCCAACAUUUGCUUAUCACUAUCCUUUCCCCACUUUCCACCCACCCUUUUUCUCUCAUCUUUCUUCACAAGAUUAGCGAUAUUUCCUCGAAAUAACUGACGCCAGUAUCGGGCUCUGGCCCUCCGUCCUUUUUCUUUCUCAUCUUUCUUCACAAGAUAAACUAUAUCUUGACACAACCAUUUCUUGAGCGAGGACUCCCGACACCCUUCUUAUGAGAGUUUUGGAUGAAGUUCCCAUCUGACAUAAAGCCAAUUGUGUAUUACUCCCCGCCAUUAGCGUUUGACUAGCGAUAGUGCUGGGCAAGUGAAGUAGCUAUUUUUCUUUGUAGCUAAAACAGCUCUGCGUCUGAUAACAUUCUUCUACACAUCAUCUACAUUUCUGAUUUUUUGUUUUAUGUGUGACUAAUGGUAUCAUCACAAGUACAAAACUUAGAUUGUCGAGUUUGUUUCUGUUUUCACAUCCUACAUCAAACCCAUCAGCCUUGUGUGGUAGUUGCUAGAUCACUUCGCUUGACGUUUCUAAUGCUUAUGAUUUGGGACAAGAUAUUUUAAUCAUUUCAAGAUAAUUUAUAACUGAUCAUGCUUUUCCAGAUACACAACGAUUGCACACUUCUAAAUGCUUAUUAUGUCAAGUAACAAGACAAUCCGAUGGCAUGCAAUGCAACCACUUUUGCACUUGUUGCUAUAGAAUUUAGCCCUAAAAGGAAAAUGAUAAUUGCUCAUAUGCUCUCGGCUGAGACAUUACUCUAUGUUAUGCAGAAGCAACCAAGGUUCCAGCCAGAGAACUUGGCUCACAACACGAAGUUAUUCGACCGAGUGAAUGAAGUUGCGCGAAGAAAGGGAUGCACCCCAUCUCAGUUAGCCCUCGCCUGGGUACACCACCAGGGUGACGACAUUUGCCCGAUUCCCGGCACAACCAAGAUCGCGAAUUUCAACCAGAACAUUGGAGCUCUGUCAGUGAAGCUUACACCGGAAGAGAUGGCCGAGCUUGAAUUGAUUGCUUCUGCGGACAAUGUCAAGGGUGGCAGGUACGAUAGCAGCGUUCCUACAUGGGAAAACUCCGACACUCCACCUCUUUCUUCAUGGAAACCUGCCUAGAAGCAUGUCUGCUUCUGGUGCUGCAUCUUUGAUGUGCAGAGUUUGAGCAUUUGCUGCUGAAGUAAUUUGAGUUUAUGUUGUGUGGCUGUUAUAAGUACGUGUAAUAAGAGAGUGACUGUUUUCAUUUUGUACAUGUGACAUUCACUAUGAGAAGAUUAUGGAUGUGUACUAACCUUACUGGGGAAAGAUCACUCGACAAACACGAGAGCGAGUUGAAUACAAACUGAGCCUGCCGUGUCGACUUUAUUGGGGUGACUUUUAGAAUCUGAGAAAUCGGGAUUUUGAAGAAUUCAAACUCAGUCGUACAUACUAGAGUGACGCUUUAUUCUCCUCCAACCAUGAGUUUAAUACUAACACCGUGUGCAACAUGCUCUUAAGACUGGAUGCUACACAUAGAUACAAAGCUUCGCUUUGUGUUUGGUUUGGUAGCGAAGUUAAGGAAAAGUAAAAUGUUACCUGAUGUUCUCGCGAAAACGAAGUUGGGGUUAAAAUGCUGGCGCGGUUGAUAUGAGCGUCAGGGAAAUCGAAGGUUUCUUGUUCAAGUUUCACCACCUACGGCUCAUGAGCUUUUAUGUAGCUCGAUACCUUCGCUCAUGCCUCUGCAUUAUUAUAAAACAGUCGGAGAUAUUGCGCAAGUUUCCUAAAAUUAAAAACGACAAUUCUAUUGUUUUUUAUUUGGAGUUAGAGUGGAGCAAUGUUGUUUUGUUUUGGUUUAGGAAAAUAACGCAAAUAGUCACUGCACUUUGGUUUAACGUAUUAUGUUCUUACUGAACUUUUAAUUUAUUUAGUAUGGUUGUCGAACUUUUUAUACAUGUUUAAUUUAGAUCCGAGGCUAGAUAAAUCCAAUGAUGCUGUGUUUGGUCGUUCGAACAUCUUUGCUAUAUGGGAUAAUGAUAGGAUAAAAAUCCCAUCUAAUAUUUCUCCACGUCUGGACAUAACAUGAUUCAAAUAAAACAAAUUUAAAUGAGUGUUUGAUUUGUAUAAUUAAAAUUAAAAAUAAACCAUGGAAGUCGUAAAUACUAUUCAUCCUUUCCCAAUCUUCAUCCAUAUCAAGCACCCCCGUUCCAUGUGACUUCAAGGACGCUCGCUCCUUCUGCAACACCCCUUUCGCUGCCCUUGAUCAACUCGAUGGAUUACGCUCGCUCUACCUUUGACUUCGCCACAUUGAGAGGCCCUUGGGUUUGAGUUCUCCGCUGGUCUAGCCAUCUUUACUUUCAACGCCUUUUUCCUGCGAUAAAUCCAUCCCCUUCGACGAGUGUGAAUACCGCGUUGAUUCCCUGUUACCGUGCUCCGACUUGUUCAGUCGCUUCAACAGCUUCCCCCGAGACAGCGCGCGGAUCCGGUUUAUGAGUGGACAUGGUUGAGGAGCUCUAUCACCUUGGCUGCCGCCUCUUUCGGAUCAUCUUCUUCACAGCGGAGGUGUCCAGCUUUGAUCGGGAUCACAAAGUUCCCUCCUAAAAUGGAGUUAAGUGACAUAAGAAAAGAGGCAGGGCUGACGAGCUCCGCGAUACUCAUGCUCUAAUUUUGUGGUGGUCAUUUUAGUGAGACAAAUUAAGAGAGAUGAUGGUGGCACUGGUCAAAAGUGAGGACAAGCCAUCGACAAGCGCAGGAGUGGGGGAAAAAGUUGUACCCCUUAUCUUUUCAGUUUUCUAAAUUUCACAUAUCAUAUUUGAAUUUAUAUCACUUUCUAGAAGGGAUUUUUAUCCGGACUAUAUCUGAAUUUCACGUUACUCUAAACAAUGGAUAGGAUCAAACUUGCCAUAUCAGAGUUUAUCCAACCCAUUAAAGACAGUCUUAUGAGAUAGAAUGCAAUGAUAUAAUUUGUGAACUAGAUUAAACAUUUAUUAAAAAUUUAAGAACAAUAGUUUACAUUUUGAUUAUUAGGAUGCAUGAAUAAGUUAUGUUAAAACAAUCGCACAAUAUAUUGAUAGCUUUGAAAUAUGGCUUUCUCUUGGCGAUGAUGUCGAUUAAUAUGGAGAAAUUAAUGGGAGGGUUUAUUUGGCCUAAUUAAAUGGGAGGCUAUAUCAAUGGGAGGUUUUUCAUUGUAACAUUCCCUUGUGCUUGGUAUUUGUAUUUUAGUAAAGGAUUUUGUUAGCAUAAUAGUCUUUGGAUUAUUAUGAGAAUAACAGUUUGUUAUAAGUCAUAAACUUUUAAAGUCGUGAACCCCAUGAUAAUUUCAAUUAUUUGUUAUUUGAUUUUUUGUAGUCUAGAAUAAAAAUUAUCAUCAAAUUAUUUAUUUUUAACAAAUAUAUUGCUCUAACUGUUGUUUCAAUUAAGUUUGCAUCGGAGAAUAGAUUAUUUUGUUUUGGUGCGCUAGUCGAGGGCAGAAGAACACCACAAGUGCCAUAACUUGGCACGCCGGGACACUUAAGUGCCAUAACUUCCAAACGGUACACUUAAGUGCCACUUUUUUUUUCAAGUGGGACACUUAAGUGCCACCUCCGGCGACCCUUGCCGGAAAUCAUACGUGGCACUAUUUUAUUACUAUUUUUGCCAACGUGGCUCGCCGGAGAGCUGAGUCGGCGCUCAGUCACCAGAAACGACGUCGUCUCCAUAAUAAAAGCCCCAAAUCUUCCAAAAACGACGUUGUCUCCCCAAAUGCCCCAAAUCUAAAACCCUAAAUCGGCCAAAAUCCCUAUUGAAGUGCUCGAAUUGAAGUCUCGAACCCUAAUUUUCAUUUGCCCAAAAUUCCUUCGUCGAAUCUUGGAAAUGGAGAGCAGGACUCGCAGCAGCGCCUCAAUUUCCUCUCAUCGAAGCGAAGGAGAAGGCCAGCGUUUCUGUUUUUGUGGGUUACCGAGUCCAAGAAGAACAUCGUGGACUCAAAUCAAUCCUGGGAGAAGAUUUUAUGGAUGCGCCCGAUAUAAAGAAGCGUCGAAGUGCAAAUACUUCAAAUGGAUUGAUGAGAAGUUCUCUGACCGAGCCACAGAGGUGAUAUUGGAUCUACUUCAUAAAAGACAGCAAUCUUCAUCUGUGUUCGUGGACGACUUGGACGAUGUUGACUCAAUGCAAGCUCAAGUGUCUUCAGUGAAACUUUCGAAGAAUGAAGUGUCAAUGCACGCUCAAGCAUCUUCAACUAAACCUUUCAAGAAUGAAGUCCCAAUGAUGAAGAUUGAACGAAAGUGUUACCAAGCGUGUAUUAUGGUGUUGUUUUGUUGUCUAUUGUACUUUAUGAUGAAAUGUAAAGUACUUGAGAAUGAGAAAAAGUUUCUGCGACUGCCAUAGUUAAAAAUGGUGUUGUUCUGGAUUAAACGUUGGGUUUUUUCUUUUUGAAAGAUGCGAAGAAGUUUGUGUUGUGGAACAAGAUCAUUGUUGCUUUGUUGUCGUUUGUGCUGUGGUAUGGACUUGCCAUAAGUUUACCAUCAUCUUCUCUGUUUUGAUGCAGAAUCAUCUUCUCUGUUUUGCAAUGCAGAAUCAUGUUCUCUGUUUUGAUGCAGACCGACAUAUACACAAGACAAACAUGAGUCAUUACCCGAGUGCCAUAAGUUGUAUUCAGUAAUCACGUAAGUGCUAGUCGCGAUGAAAAAAGGAUCACUUUAGUGUAAAGUUAUUGUUAAAGUGAUCGGUUAAGUGUCACUUGUAGUUAAAAGUGAACAGUUAAGUGCCAAGUUUUUUUAGAAUAGGAUCAGUUAAGUGCCAAUUUUUUUGUCGGUUUUCUGUAAAAAUUGCGCCAGCCACCAGCACCGGCGACACCACCAACCAUCACCACUAUCCACACUACACACUAGGCGCUCCAGCCACCACCAUGCUGGUGGUGUUGCUGCACAAGAUACUAGUGCAAGGCUCAGCUUGCACUAGUUUGCACCAGUACACAUGGUGUAAGAUGUGCAAACUGCACACUUGUACCAGGUGUAGGUGCAGCUGCUUAAGCCUAUAACCCCCACCACAAACCAAUAAUCACCAGGCAUCACCAUCAGCCACACCAGCACCCCAGCCACGACAUUAGCACCCCACCAACAAACUGACUACCACCUACCACCAAACAUCACCAUCCACCAUCACUAGAUACACCAGCACUCCAGCUAUCACCACAGAACACCAACAGCAGCAGCAACAAGUAAAAGCCAGAAUCCAUGAUAAACAACAACAUAAAUUGACAAGCAGCGCAAGAUCAUUUCAUUGAUAUUAAUAUCAUCAAGUCUGAGUCUGACAACAUUCAUUUCAUUGAUAUUUCAUCAAGUGUGAGUCUGAGUCUGACAACAUCAAUGAAUGACAAACUAAAGAAAAAAAACAAAAGAUAACCAUCGAUGCAUAGACUUUCUAUAUGCACGACAACAUCAUCGUUUACAUAACUGUUUUUACUCCUAAGCUCCACAAAUCCUAUCACAUCUCAUCUCAUCAAUCAAUAUGCACGACACCCCCUGUUCGUCCUCCUUUCGAUGGGCCUUUCACUUGAUUCAUAAUUCUGGCACUCUUUCUAACUGGACGUGCAACUUCUUCUUCAACCUUCUCAGUAUCCACUGACUCAGAUGGAGCUGCAAAUGUCAUAGGCCGAAUUGAAUCAAAAGGAGCUGGAGCUGGAGCUGGAGAUGGAGCUGGAGCUGGAGCUCGAGCUCGAGCUGGGUUCUUUCUCUUAUUUUUUUUUGGCACAGUUGAUGUUGAUGUUUUCUUCUUUUUUGUUGGUGCAGCCGUCGAUUCUUGAGUUGGGCCUGAGAUAAGAACUUCUGAACUUCUCCCAGGCUACAAAAAAACAAUAAAUUGUUAGCAAAAAUCUACAGCAUAAAUUAAAUUAAAUGCAGCCAAUAAAACUUACAUUGAGAAUGACUGUUCCAGUAGGCUCAUCUGUAUACAGGCCAUAGCCAUAUUGUCUGAACCUCUUCCCAAGUGCCCCUCUUGUUUGAAUAGGGGCGUCACUUUCAGGAACUUGUGAUUUGUUGCCCCUUUGUCCUGCUUUCUUGGGCCCUUUAACUACAGCCGAGGCUUGUUCGACCCAUUGUGUUGGGCGUCUUCUAGAUGGCCUUUGUGUACCUGCCCCUUCACCUGGCCUUGUUCUAGUUGUCCUUCUGUGUAGCCCUUCAACUUCAGUGACACCUCCUUCUGUUUGGCCUUCUGGUGGUACUGGUGGUGGUACUUGUGGUGCCCCUUGCAGCUCCUGUGAUGAUCCUUGAGAGCAUGAUCCUUGAGGUGGCUCCUGUGAUGAUCCUUGAGGUGGCUCCUGUGAUGGCCCUUCAGUUGGCAGUUGAGUUCGAACUUGCUUUCUUCGAACCUGAGAAAGAGGCGAAAAUCGAACCUGAGAAAGAGGCGAAAAGAUACCAUAAAUAUAAUAUCGAGACAUAUAAUAAUAAAAACUGAAUACAAAUUGAUUGAAUUUAGCACUGGGUAUUUCUUUCGCUGCUGAAGAACAGUCGACUGCACUGGCCGUGAUGCUGCUUGGGUCAAUCCUUCAGCUGGCCGUGAUGCUGCCACUUGGGCCAAUCCUUUACCUGGCUGUGUUCUACCUUGCCUUCUUCGAACAGGCUGUUCAGUUUCAUGACUUACUGAGGUUCUUCUUGUGACCUAACAAACACAUUACAUACAAGGCCAAAUAGGAUAUCAUUAUGUACAUUUUUAUGAUAAACGACAAGAAAGCAACAUAAACAUAAAAUAAAUUUCAUGACUUACCGGGGUUCUACUUGUUGACUGAAGAACAGUCGACUCACUUGGCCCUGCUGUGUGCAUUUCUCCAACUGUCUCUUCACUAGGCCCUUCACCUUGCCUCAACCGUUGUUGCUUCCUCAAUUGACAACCUUUAAUAUUGUGGCCUGUUAGGCGACAAUAAGAGCACGUGAUCUUUGCACCCUCCCUGCUCAUUCUUUGCUGACCCGAGACCUCUCCCUCCGCCAUUCUUCGUCUUCGUUUUGUCCUUCCAAUUGUCUUCUUCAGUGGCAAAGGUAGAGGUGCUUCACGAUCCGUGGGCUCCCAAAACUUGCUACUUCUAAUUGGCUGCAUCAUGAACUGAUAGGAAGCAAGAUACUUUGAUUUAUGGUACCAAUCAUCGAUGUAAUCAUCUAUAUUGUCGCCCUUCAACUGGAUGGCACAUAUGGCAUGUGCACAUGGAAUUCCACUUACUUGCCAUGAUCUACAUGAACACUUCCUACUUCCUAGAUUGACAACAUACUUAUCUGCACCCUUCAUUAUCUCAUAUCCGUCAUCUCCAUUCCAAAUGGGAUGACAAUGCGUACUUGCAGCCAAGUUGUCAUCCAAUUUCUUCACAAUCCUAGGACCAUAUUGUCUUGUCCACUUUGCAGCCUCAUCUCUUUGUUUCUGCAGCCGAGUCAUAACCGCAACUCGUAUAUCUUCAAGCAUUGAGAUGACUGGUUUGCAUCUGGCAUCUAUUAUCUUCGAAUUAAAUACUUCACAAAUGUUGUUGUCGACGUUAUCGCACUUGAACUCCUCACUGAAGAAUGCCCUGCACCAAUGCUUCGGUUCUAGUUGAAAUAGGGUAGCACAACCUUCCUUUGUCAACUGAAGCAGUCCUUCUUUGGCUAUUCUAAAGUCAGCCAUGUUUGCACUCUUUGCUAAUUGCCAAAAUUGCAAUUGCAGCUUAUCCCCUUUAUAGUUCUUUGCCCAAUUUCCGUAUAUGUGCCGCGCACACAUUCGAUGUUCAGCAUGGGGCAACAACUCGGCUACUGCCGGAACCAAUCCCUGCAAUAAUUCAAAGUAAGAAAUAUUAUAGCAAAUUACAUGUUCAUAUUACAAAGCAAAGCAAAGCAAACUAUUGACUAAACUUUUCAAAAAGCAAGCAUUACCUUCUGUUGGUCACUCGUGAAUGCCCACCCUUCCCCGUUUGUUAUCUCCAAGUCAGCCAUCAGAUUUUUCAAGAACCAAGACCAAUUGUCCUUGUUCUCAAUCUUUACAAUAGCCCAAGCUAGUGGGAACAUUUGGUUAUUCGCAUCUCUUCCAAUCGCUGCCAACAAUUCUCCCUUGCACAAGCCCUUCAAGAAACAGCCGUCCAAUCCUAUAAUCCGUCUACAACCAGCUAAAAAACCUCGUCUGCAUGCAUCAAAGCACACAUAGAACUUAUCGAACUUGGUCCCAUGAUCAGGAAGUGGUCUCUCAAUCACCUCUACAUACACUCUACUUGUAGGGUUUUGCAGCCUACACUCCCAAGCAUACUCCCACACCUGCCCAUAUUCCUUAGCAUACUGACCAAUAAGUACCUUUAUCACCUUUUGCUUUGCUCUUUUGCACUGAUUCCUAGAUACAUUGAUGCCUACACGCUCCUUCACCAGCAUCCUAAAGUUAGCAAGUUUCAAGUUGGGCAUCACCUUGAUCAGAUCGAAGAAGUGCUUCGACAACCAUGAACUUGUUACCCUUUUGUUUUGAAAAUUAAUGGAACAAGUGUGUUCCUCUUGGUAGGCUCUAAUCUGAAAAGACCCACUCUUCUUAACAAACGCACCGUAAAUCUUCCAUGGACAGUUUUGCUGCGAACACCUAGCUCUUACAAAUUUCUUGGUAUUUCUAAUGAAAUCAAUAUUUCUUUGUGCAGCAAUGGAAGAACUCAGUAUAGCUUCCCUAAAUUGUAUCGCAUCAUGGAAUUUCAUACCUACUGACAAAGUAGGAGAUGCAACAGAUGGAUCAUAGGAAGGAAACUUACUUUUCCUUCUACGCACAGCUCGUUGAUCUUCUUCAACUUCGUCCUGGGAAGUUGCGGUGUCGAUGCUUUCUUCAUAAUCUGUCUCCAGGACCUGGCCAGCAACACCAACAUCUGCAGGGCCUUCGUCUCUGUUUGGAUGAACAGCUACAUGCAAAGUUGCAAAUCUAUCUAACAAAAAGUCCCUUUGUUUUUUCCUUGACUGUGUAAGCUCCUCAUCGUCGACGUCACUUAAGAUUAACAAAUUUUCAGCUUCAGCAGCCAACCCUUCAUCGUCAUCGUCACCCUCACUGGAUUCAGCUACUUCCCAAUCUAAUUCAGUGAUGGUGACAUCACCCAUGUCACAAUCGCUCUGGUGAACAGCAUCUGCGCCCCUCUCCUCCCCAUCCUGUCCAUCAUGACCUACUUCAUCUCCUCCUUCUCCUACUUCGGUGGUAUCUGUGUCAUCAUGUUCGUCCUCACUAUUGUUUUCAACAAACACUUUCGCCUCUUCGCCAUGAAGAAAAUGAUAUAAGACAUCCCUAAAACCAUUAUCAUCUUCCAAAACUCUCAAACCAUCUCUCAAGCCUUUCCCAGGAACACAGUACAGUAACUUUUGUACUCUACAAGGCAAAAAUGUCACUAUAUCCCUAACAAAUCCAAUAUAAGAUGCCUUCUUUAUAUCUACAAAGAUAGUACCCUCAUUCCCCCCCUCAUACUCCCACUCAUCCUCCCCAAUCACAAAAUCUCCACCGUAGUAAACGAUGACAGCAACAUAGUCUUUAUGCGCCAUUUCUGCAACAAAAGAGGACAAAUAUACAAUUAACUAUUUUGGGACCACAUUCACAAAGAACAGACAAUUGCAAGUGGAGGUCCCCACACUCUUUAUUAAAGAAAAGAAAAGAAAAGAAGAAGAGAGAGGGAAGAUGCGGUCGUCGACAGCUGCAGCUUGAAAACAACAGGCCUCAGGACAAGGACAAAUAAAAAUUAAGAUGGGACCCGACAACUGCUUUGAUUAUGCCGUCGCAUUUCUUUAAAAUAUGGAGAGAUUCCUCAGCAUGGGUCCUCAACAAUGCAAUUUAUUAAACAAAUAUCCAGAAGUCCCCAUCCCCACAACCUUCGAUUCUCACAUGUGCAAAGUCCAAUACUCUGAACCCUAACAAUCACCAAUCAUCGCACAUUUCACAUCCGACCACUACAAAUUACUUUCGCACAUCACAAUUCAACACCCUGAAUGAAUCACACAUCACAGUGGAUGAGGCGACGUCGAGCCCUACACUGAGCCCUAAUUUCCCCCCCCUCGAGCCCUACACCGAGCCUAUAUUUCAAUGCCGCUCCUAAACUGUCAAUUUGAACCCCCCAAUAGGAUUGUAGCACUACAUCUCAGCCAUUAAAUCUCACAUCAAGCCUGACCUUUCCCAGCCGACCCCCAAAUUUGAAGUCCGAGCCCUAAUAAACGAGUCGGAGCCCUAAUUUCACCACAGGGGAGAGGAAGAAGAGAAAAAACCUGAGCAAAUCGACGACGGCGAGCGAUGACGGCGCUCGACGACGGCGACCGACGACGGCGACCGACGACGGCGACCGACAAAGGCGAGCGACGACGGCGAGCGAUCACCUGCGAACGGCGAGCUGUGAACGGCGAUGGAUGGAUGGAGAGGACGUCAGACCUACUGUGAACCGACAAAAUGUUAAAUUCCAAAUAAACGAACGACGUCGUUUUGUUUGGCCAAGUGCACAGUGGAUGGGGCGACGUCGUUUUCCUCCUCCACGUCUGCUUUUUUUAAAAAAAAAAAUUGCCACAUCAGUUAAGCUUGUCGCCGGAAAAUGCCACGUCUGCAUUUUGGCCGGUUUUUCGCCGGAUUGGCACUUAAGUGUCCCAUUUUACUCCGAUGAUGGCACUUAAGUGUACCAUUUUAAAGUUAUGGCACUUAAGUGUCCCGGCGUGCCAAGUUAUGGCACUCCAGGUGUCCCGACCUCCUAGUCGAGUAUUGCACAGUACAUUGUCAUUUUCUGAGCACUAGCAACGUUGCAUUCAGACAAGGCGGCAUGGAAUUAUUUGCCCAGCUGCACAUCGCUCGACCAUACAUUCAUGGACUGUUCCUCAGGAAAGCAUAUAGACAUGUGGCAGAUGCAGAACAUUUCACGAGAUUAAAAAAAAGAAAAUAAUUUUAAAAAAACUAUAGUUUCAACUUCAAAACAUGUCGAACGCCUGUUUCCACAUCAAGAAUUUGGGACCUCCCAAAUAUUUUCUUGGUAUUAAGAUUGCUCGAUCUAGUAAAGGUAUUAGUCUUAGUAAGGUAUUAAGAUUGCUCGAUCUAGUAAAGGUAUUAGUCUUAGUAAGAGGAAGUUCAUCCUAUAAAUCAUUUUUGAAGCGGGAUUAUCCAAAUACAAGUCCGCCAUCAUACUAAUCGAACAAAAUACUAAGCUGCCAACUCAUGGACUUAGAUUCUUCAUCUUUUGAGGAUUCAUUGCUCAAGGAUCCAUCAGCAUAUCGGCAACUUGUUGCAAAAUCAAUAUACCUCAUCAUCACAUGGCCCGAUAUAUGUUAUGCAGUGCAAGUACUCUUUAUUCAUGCAUAGUCCAAAACAAUUCCAUAUGAAUGCAGCCCUAGAAGUUGUGAAAUAUUUGAAGUGAUGUCUAAGACUUGGAAUAUUUUUAUCUUGUGACUGCAACAUGAAGAUGAGAGCUUUUUGUAAUAUAAAUUAUGCUACUUGCCUGAUGAACAAGAGAUCUAUUUUUGUUUAUGCAUUAAAUUGGGAAAGUCAUUAAUCUCGUGGAAAAGGAAGAAGUAGUCAAUUAUAUCAUUGUCAUCAGCUGAAUCAAAGUAUCAAGCCAUGGGGAAAACUACCUGCGAAGUAGUUUGGAUAGGAGGAUUACUCUCGGAUCUUGGAUUACAGGUUAGUGGAGCAACUAAAUUGUUUUGUGAUAAUGAUGCUACAUUUAAAUUAACAACAAAUCUAGUUUUUCAUGAAAGAACAAGACAUAUAGAAGUUGAUUGUCAUUUUACUCAAAUAAGAUUAGAGAAAGAGUUGUUGUAACUAAAGGAAUUGGAAUUAUGUCAAUAGGAUAUUUUGGACAAAGGGUUAAUGGGAGCAGAUUUGUGACUCAAGUAAAAAUUUAUGAAUUUUUAUGAGAUUGUAAAAAUUUUAGGGUAUUAUACAAAAAAAAAAGGUCUAAGGUAGAAUUAGUAUGUGAGUUAACAUUGAGGAUUUUUUAUGGGACAAAAAAAAGGUAAUGGUAGAAUUGUGAAUGGAUCUAAAUUAUUGUUCUUUUUUGAGACAAAAGGUACAAUUUGGAGAAAAGCUAAAGCAGGAGGUUUUUUUUCAUAAGGGUGUUAAGGUUCAUUUUGUCAUUCAUAUGACGUCAGCAUUUCUUAUUUUCUCCUACCUUUUCGUCAGCACGUGCGUCUUCGGUAGCACGUGCAGGGAUCGAGCGAGCUCGAGCUAGACGACGGCAAUGGCGGCGGCGUCGACGACAACGGUGAGGAGGAUCAAACUGGGGUCGCAGGGGCUGGAGGUGUCGGCGCAGGGGCUGGGCUGCAUGGGCAUGUCCGCCUUCUACGGCCCUCCCAAGCCCGAGCCCGACAUGAUCGCCCUCAUCCACCACGCCGUCGGCUCCGGCGUCACCUUCCUCGACACCUCCGACAUAUACGGCCCCCACACCAACGAAAUCCUCCUCGGAAAGGUCGGUUCUCUCAGUCUCUCUUUUGCCUCCUCAUGAAUUGUAUGUGCUUAUAGUGUUACGGAAUUUAGCUUCAUCGAGCAGGAUGGGAUGCUCUGAUCCUGCGUCAUGGUUUUCUAAUUUCGGGGUUGAUUUUGAGCAGGCGCUGAAGGGAGGGGUGAGGCAGAAGGUGGAAUUGGCGACCAAGUUCGGAGCCGUCAUCGGGGACGGGAAGAGGGAGGUCCGGGGCGAUCCGGCAUACGUGAGGGCGGCUUGCGAGGCCAGCUUGAAGCGGCUCGAGGUCGAUUGUAUCGACCUCUACUACCAACACCGUGUCGACACUCGAGUCCCCAUCGAAGUCACUGUAUGGAUCCUCCUUAAACCUUUACCUCUCUCUCGAGACUUUCUCGGAGCCAUAUGAUCAGUUGCUAAACUAGAUUGGUGUUAAUUAUGCAUCGUCAUGUUGUUACAAGUUUGUUGGAUUUUGUGGCAGUUGCUUGUAAAUAUUGUUAAAUGAGAUUUAAGAUCGGGUGAUAGCAGAGUUCAAGAUGCGGCACGAUGCUGUUAAAGGGGUUGUGGAAUUUAGUGGUUUAGUGGCUUGAGUUUUUGUUUUAUGGGCAUCUUUUACAAGUUGAGGGUCAACAAUCAAGAAAAUCAUUCGAAAUCUUCCUUUGAGAUGAAAGUGCUCCGGGGUUCAUCCUCAUUUAUAUACAAGAAUCACAUUUGAAGUUGUUCCUUGACUUUCUAUGGAAUGGAGACAUUUGGUUCUUGACAUAUCAUCGUGAAAUGUGACAAGUACUUGGAACACUUCUUUAAUUUGCUCUCUUCUGUGAUCGAUUAGAGAAAUCCACCUCCGUUAACGCAAUACCUAGCGACUUUUUUGUCACAUUGACAUGCAUAAUAAUUGACUAAACUAUUGAGGGAUCGGGAAACAUAAAAAGCUAACGAUGUGCAUAAUUUUCUGGAUCUUAACACGUAGGAUCUUGACGGUUGUUGUUUUGUCUUGUGAAUAUGCACAGAUUGGAGAGCUAAAGAAGCUCGUUGAAGAGGGUAAGAUCAAGUACAUCGGUAUGUCUGAGGCCUCUGCGUCAACAAUCAGAAGAGCACAUGCUGUUCAUCCCAUCACAGCGGUGCAAUUGGAGUGGUCGCUGUGGUCAAGAGAUGUGGAGGCAGAGAUCAUUCCCACGUGCAGGUAGGAUAUCACUCUGUUAGUUUAUUUAUGCAGUAAAAUCAUCUUUCUUCUGACUCUGCUCUUCCUUCAAAAUGUUGACUAGGGAGCUUGGCAUUGGAAUCGUUGCCUACAGUCCUUUAGGACGAGGAUUCUUUUCUGUUGGCUCCAAGUUGGUGGAGAAUUUCUCCAAGGAUGACUUCAGACAGGUCUGUUUCUGCUGGUCGACAUAAUUAGAUGCUCACAGUGACUGUCAUUCUGAUUGAAGUGCUGGAAACCUGUUCUUGUGGCAUAAAGAAAAGUAUCUGGAUGGGAUGAAUAAAACUUGGUGACACAAAUGCUUCACGUUCUUAUUUGUCUUCAAUCCAGCACUCGCCAGACAUCCCACCUCUUUUGAUUCUAGAUAGAUGUAAAAUCACAAGUAAUGGCUUUAAUGAGCCUGAAAGAGGUACGUUCCCGGAUUCUCAUUCUUUUGGGAAUGAAUAAAAAUAGGUUUAUUUGUAAGUUGCUCUGUUUCCAAGCCUUCCCACCAUUUGCUAAUCACUAUCCUUUCUCCACUUUUCACCCACCCUUUUUCUCUCAUCUUCCUUCAGAAGAUUAGCGAUAUUUCCUCAAAAGAACCGACACCAGUAUUGGGCCUCAGCCCUCCAUCCUUUUUUAUUCUCAUCUUUCUUCACAAGAUAAAUUGUAUCUUGACACAAACAUUUCUUGAGUGAGGACUCCCAAGCACCUUUCUUAUGGAAGUUUUGGGAUCAAGUUGUGUAUUACUUCCUGCCAUUAAUUUUGGGCGAGUGAAGUAGCUAUUUUUCUUCAUAGCUAAAAGAGCUUUGCGUCUGAUAAUAUUCUUCUACACAUCAUCUACAUUUGUGAUUUCUUUCUCUUAUGUGUGACUAAUGGUACCAUCACAUGAACAAUACUUAGAUUUUGAAUUUCGUUUCUGUUUCCACAUCUUACAUCAAACCCAUUAGCCUUGUGUGGUAGUUGCUGGAUCACUUCACUCUACAUUUCUGAUGCUUUUGAUUUGGGACAAGAUAUUUUAAUCAUUUCAAGAUAAUCUUUAACUGAUCAUGCUUUUCCAGAUACACAGCAAUUGUGCACUUUCGAAUGCUUAUUAUGUCAAGUAAAAGACAAUCUGAUGGCAUGCAAUGCAACCACUUUUGCUCUUGUUGCGGUAGAAUUUGGCAUUAAAAGGAAAAUGAUAGUUGCUCAUAUGCUUUCUGCUGAGACAUUGCUCUAUGUUAUGCAGUACCUACCAAGGUUACAGCCAGAGAACUUGGCUCACAACGCCAAGUUAUUCGACCGAGUGAAUGAAAUUGCACAAAGAAAGGGAUGCACCCCAUCGCAGUUAGCCCUCGCCUGGGUACACCACC